rnacentral:rRNA from 1 species
UGCAUAUUCAAAAAGCGGAGGAAAAGAAACCAACAGGSAUUGCCUCAGUAACGGCGAGUGAAGCGGCAACAGCUCAAAUUUGAAAUCUGGCCUCUUGGGGUCCGAGUUGUAAUUUGUAGAGGAUGUUUCGGGUACCGCCUCGGUUUAAAUUUCUUGGAACAGAAUGUCAAAGAGGGUGAGAAUCCCGUCUUGGACCGGCGGUAGGGCCUAUGUGAAACUCCUUCGACGAGUCGAGUUGUUUGGGAAUGCAGCUCAAAAUGGGUGGUAAAUUUCAUCUAAAGCUAAAUAUUGGCCAGAGACCGAUAGCGCACAAGUAGAGUGAUCGAAAGAUGAAAAGCACUUUGAAAAGAGAGUUAAACAGUAUGUGAAAUUGUUGAAAGGGAAGCGCUUGCAACCAGACUUGAGCGCGGCGGUUCCCCCUUGCUUCUGCUUGGGUUACUCCGCCGUGUCCAGGCCAACAUCGGUUCUGGGGGUCGGUCAAAGGCUCUGGGAAUGUAUCUACCCACGGGUAGACUUAUAGACCAGGGUGUCAUGCGACCUCCCGGGACCGAGGAACGCGCUUCGGCUCGGAUGUUGGCGUAAUGGUUGUCAGCGACCCGUCUUGACCACACGGACC